AUAAAAUCUUUUCCUAUAGUAUGUGGUAAAAUUAACCUCAAAUAGUUAUUUACUUUUUUCAUUAUUAAAAUGAACGUUUUUUUGUAAUUCUUCUUGCUCUUACAAGUUCAAAAUAAGAAAAUGGAAUUUCAAUUGAUAGUUUAAUUCAUGGAAUCGUCGCAAGUUCGGUCUGGCUUUUGGGUAAAAUGGAACUUAUCGCUCUGGUUCGACCGAUCCGAAGGCCCUGUGGUUCUUGAUGGAUGGGAAAGCAUGCAAAGGAGAAAAGGGGGUUUGAAAUGUAAAGCUAGGUCUGGACAUUGCUGUUGAAAGGGUUAUGCAGUGCUCAUAUAGACGUUAGCAUAAUUAAGACUCGCUUUACAUUACCAGACCGAAAGCCUUGGGUAACUUUCGAAAUGUAAUUAAUGGUCAACUGAAUCCAUACCAGAAGUUCCACAAGAAACUUGAGACAAGUACUAACGGAAGAUCGUUGCAGGUAGCUUUACAAAAGCGGACACAUUCUGCCAAGGGAGACAAGAAACUUAAAAGUUGCUUACAAAUCCGUAGCAGAUAUUCAUUGAUCUGGACAUUCCAUUCAUCACAAGAAGCAAACGAAUAUUAUUCGAUGUUGUAGUUUCAAUUUUGUUUAUCCGUAGUAUAAGGUUAUGCAUGCACAAAUUCGCUUAUGCUUUUUUAGAGAUGUAUUUUCCUUAGAUGUAAAUUUCAUAUUAUUCCAAGAGGUUCGAAUUUGGCAAAUAAAAGUAUGUAAUUAAGUCUUCAA